GGGCAGGAGGAGGUUCUGGUGGAGCUGCAGGAGGGUCUGGCGGAGCUGGUAGUGGUGGAGCUUCUGGAGGAGGAGGAGGAGGAGGAGGAGCUGCUGGAGGAACUGGAAGCGGAGGAGCAGGUGGCGGUACCUCAGGGGGAGCAGCUGACGGUGGUACCUCAGGAGUAGUAGCCAGUGGAAUAUGCGCACGUACUUGGAAGUGCUCCAGGAAAGGAGGUGAAUGCCGAGAUACCUUCUUUAACGACUGCAGAAGGACUCUGAAUAAAUGUGGAAGGGGAACAUCAUGCAAAUGUUGCAUCUUAGCAGCAAAUCAAGGAGGGUGCAGGCAGAAAAAACGUUGCUUUCAAGCCGGAGGUACAUGCAGGAAUCAGUGCAAUGUAGGCGAAUCUCAACAGGGACGAUGCAAAAGAGGCUGCGUGUGUUGCGUGCCAACAGUAGGAUCUGGAGG